UUGUCUUCUGUGAAGUGGUGACAGUAAAGAAGUAAUGAGUGCUCAUCCAAUAAGUGGCUCUUCUAAAGCAUUUUAUGUAUUUAAGCUCCAUAAUAGGAAGUGGCCAAUUCUCAUUUAUUUGAAACUACAUUUAAGAGUUGAAAACAAGGCUGGGGGUUUAGCUCAGUGGUGUAAGCGCCUGACUUGCAAGCACGAGGUUAUGAGUUCAAUCCCCGGUACAAAAAAAAAAAUUGAAAACAGAAACUUUGUGUGUCAUUUAGGAAAUGCCUGGCAUGUAGUAGUAUUAGUAGAAUGUGACUUACUCUCCUAACUUUAAGGCUUUGCUUGCAGUCUGAUCCGCAAGUCAGAAAACCUUGUGGCCUGAAGAUUCUAACAUUUUGCUUAUGUGGUCACUAUCGUUGAGGGGCACUGUCCUUGGAGGAGCAGGUAGGGUGCUGGCCAAAGGUAAGGCAUUUAGGCAGUCACACAGGCAGUGGCCCUGUGUAUCACUAAGUAUCUGAGAGUGCUAAAAAUAAAACUGUAUUGAAAUUUCCCCUAGUGAAAGGAGUAUAGGAAAUUCUUUGCCUUUCAGAUGACUGCUGUGGCAUACUGGACUACGGAAUUUAUUUGCCAGAAAUAUCAGAAUGAGGGCCGUGUGAGAAAAGGAGACUUUUUGUUCAGUUGCACCUAGCAAAUCCUGAGGAGAAAAUGAGCAGUACAUAGUUCCUGUAGCCACCUCCACCAGAGGGCAGAAAGUGGAAAAGAAAGGAAAUGAAAAAGAAACUCAUCCUCGGUGUCAGAAUGCCUGUGGAAGCCUUGCUGACGGACUCCCCUCAAUGUGCACUUCAGAAACUGAGUUAACUGUGGCCCAGAAAGGCUACCCAACUUACCAGAGUGGAGCAGAUGAAUCUCUCAGACUCCUGGUUCUCAUGUUGGGUACCCUUGGGGUGGGGCGGGCUGGGGUUUUGAUGAGGCAGCAUUUUAGCAGGAAUACAAUCCUGCUGUCUCCAGGGAAUCCCAGGGCAGCUUGCUAGCUCUACAGAACUUUACCCCGCUCUUUUCUCAUCUAUAACAUAAAGAUUGUGAUUGCACCUACCUCAGGACGGACGGUAUGAAAUAAAAGAAAAUGCAGGUGAAGGACGAUGCCUGCACACAGUCUCAUUUUUUGAAUUAUUAUAAACUUGUCAGAUCCUGCAUUCUGAGUCUCAUGUCAGAAUAACACAGAAUCAGUUUUAAAACCAUUUACAUAUACAGUGUUUUCCACACUAUCUCAUUUCAGAAACAAAAUACCAAUUUCCUCUCCCCAUCUCACAAAUUUAAAGCUUUUAAUAAUCAAGGAACAGGUAAACAUAUUUUAAACAUA